rnacentral:pre_miRNA from 15 species
AAGACAGAGGAGAGCCAGCAAACCGACGCGCAAGAGCGGAGCGCCAGAGCGGAUCGAGCCCGUUGCGAAUCGAACUUGGUUCGAGCUCGAGCGGCGGGUCGAUCCGUGCCGUUGUCCAGCC